UGCUUAUUUGCUCUCAGCUCUAUUCCCACCCUUCUGUGUUCCUUGUUUUUCAGAAGGUUAGAAGUCUGCAAACUACAUUUAUCAUUUCCAUUGUCAGAUGGCUUCUGAUUAGAUUUUGUCACUGGGUGGUAUUGGUUAAAGUUGGAUGGAAGGAAUAAAUUAUAUAUUUUUCCAUAAUCUUGGUUUCUGGUAAUGUUUUCAGUAGUGGCAGUGAUAGCAGAAGAUGAGUACCGCUUCAGGGUUCCUGGUGUAGCAGUGCAGUUCCAGCAAGCAUGUCAGAAGUCUUGCUAGUGUGGUACUGGUGGGAUCAGGCUUUGAUGGUGGCAUCUGCAGUGCAGGAACAGAGGUGUUGCCUGCACAAAGAUGCUGGGAAGAGAAAGUCAGAGUCAUGGCCGACAGAUCUUCAUCCUCCCAAGCCAAGAUUGUGGAAGCCACUGGAGACCUGGUUCAGAAUCCAGGCUCUACUGCUCUCUAGCUAUGGAAUAAUGGAGAAGGCCAGAAGGUCAUGACAGCUGGAUCUUAGACAGACAUUCUGAGUCAUGAGGAGGAAGCCAAGUUCUGAGGAUGGUGGAGCAGGAAGAUAGAAGUUGGAACCCCAAUGACCUUGUGAACUAUUCUACUGACUGUGAACUGCCAACUCCGCACUUUUUUACAUGAGCAAGAAAUAAACCUCUUUCUUGUUUAAGCCAUUCUUAUUUUAGUGUCUCUGGUACUUACUGUAACACUGAAAUCCAGCGGGUUUAGAGAUCAUCCACAGAAAUGGCGUGGGUGAAGGAGAGGAGGGUCAUUCAGGAAGAGUAAGCCUGAAGUCCACGACUGAGCCCUGCGAGAGUGCUCACAUUUAUAGAAGAGACACCAUCAAAAGAAACAGAAGAGACCAAGCAGUAAGAGUGCAAGAGAGG
rnacentral:lncRNA from 10 species